GAUGAACGCUGGCGGCGUGCCUAAUACAUGCAAGUCGAGCGAACAGACGAGGAGCUUGCUCCUUUGAUGUUAGCGGCGGACGGGUGAGUAACACGUAGGUAACCUACCUAUAAGACUGGGAUAACUUCGGGAAACCGGAGCUAAUACCGGAUAAUAUUUCGAACCGCAUGGUUCGAUAGUGAAAGAUGGCUUUGCUAUCACUUAUAGAUGGAUCUGCGCCGUAUUAGCUAGUUGGUAAGGUAACGGCUUACCAAGGCAACGAUACGUAGCCGACCUGAGAGGGUGAUCGGCCACACUGGAACUGAGACACGGUCCAGACUCCUACGGGAGGCAGCAGUAGGGAAUCUUCCGCAAUGGGCGAAAGCCUGACGGAGCAACGCCGCGUGAGUGAUGAAGGUCUUCGGAUCGUAAAACUCUGUUAUUAGGGAAGAACAAACGUGUAAGUAACUGUGCACGUCUUGACGGUACCUAAUCAGAAAGCCACGGCUAACUACGUG
rnacentral:rRNA from 1 species